rnacentral:rRNA from 1 species
GAUGAACGCUGGCGGCGUGCCUAAUACAUGCAAGUCGAGCGAACGGACGAGAAGCUUGCUUCUCUGAUGUUAGCGGCGGACGGGUGAGUAACACGUGGAUAACCUACCUAUAAGACUGGGAUAACUUCGGGAAACCGUAGCUAAUACCGGAUAAUCUUUUGAACCGCAUGGUUCAAAAGUGAAAGACGGUCUUGCUGUCACUUAUAGAUGGAUCCGCGCUGCAUUAGCUAGUUGGUAAGGUAACGGCUUACCAAGGCAACGAUGCAUAGCCGACCUGAGAGGGUGAUCGGCCACACUGGAACUGAGACACGGUCCAGACUCCUACGGGAGGCAGCAGUAGGGAAUCUUCCGCAAUGGGCGAAAGCCUGACGGAGCAACGCCGCGUGAGUGAUGAAGGUCUUCGGAUCGUAAAACUCUGUUAUUAGGGAAGAACAUAUGUGUAAGUAACUGUGCACAUCUUGACGGUACCUAAUCAGAAAGCCACGGCUAACUACGUG